CAAUAGCGUAUAUUAAAGUUGUUGCUGUUAAAAAGCUCGUAGUUGGAUUUCUGUGAGAGUGCCGGUGUCGGCUGAUGCUUGUACGCAGGCGCUCUUACAUCCUUCUGUUAACUGAUCUUGGCAUUUUAUUGCUGGUUCAGGGCUCAGAUAUUUUACCUUGAGAAAAUUAGAGUGUUUCAGGCAGGCUUAUGCCGGAAUACAUUAGCAUGGAAUAAUGGAACAGGACCUGUGCGUCUUUCGGGGCGCCGGUCUCCGUUAUUGGUUUCGGGGACUAAAGUAAUGAUUAAUAGGGAUAGUUGGGGGCAUUAGUAUUUAAUAGUCAGAGGUGAAAUUCUCGGAUUUGUUAAAGACUAACUUAUGCGAAAGCAUUUGCCAAGGAUGUUUUCAUUAA
rnacentral:rRNA from 1 species